GAUGAACGCUGGCGGCGUGCCUAAUACAUGCAAGUCGAGCGAACGGACGAGAAGCUUGCUUUUCUGAUGUUAGCGGCGGACGGGUGAGUAACACGUGGAUAACCUACCUAUAAGACUGGGAUAACUUCGGGAAACCGGAGCUAAUACCGGAUAAUAUUUUGAACCGCAUGGUUCAAAAGUGAAAGACGGUCUUGCUGUCACUUAUAGAUGGAUCCGCGCUGCAUUAGCUAGUUGGUAAGGUAACGGCUUACCAAGGCAACGAUGCAUAGCCGACCUGAGAGGGUGAUCGGCCACACUGGAACUGAGACACGGUCCCGACUCCUACGGGAGGCAGCAGUAGGGAAUCUUCCGCAAUGGGCGAAAGCCUGACGGAGCAACGCCGCGUGGGUGAUGGAGGUCUUCGGAUCGUAAAACUCUGUUAUUAGGGAAGAACAUAUGUGUAAGUAACUGUGCACAUCUUGACGGUACCUAAUCAGAAAGCCACGGCUAACUACGUG
rnacentral:rRNA from 1 species